CCUACGGGAGGCAGCAGUAAGGAAUAUUGGUCAAUGGGCGGAAGCCUGAACCAGCCAUGCCGCGUGCAGGAAGACGGCCCUACGGGUUGUAAACUGCUUUUGUACAGGAAUAAACCUUGAUACGUGUAUCAAGCUGAAUGUACUGUAAGAAUAAGGAUCGGCUAACUCCGUGCCAGCAGCCGCGGUAAUACGGAGGAUCCAAGCGUUAUCCGGAUUUAUUGGGUUUAAAGGGUGCGUAGGCGGCCUGUUAAGUCAGAGGUGAAAGGCGGUAGCUUAACUAUCGGAGUGCCUUUGAUACUGAUGGGCUUGAAUGCAGCUGAGGUAGGCGGAAUGUGACAAGUAGCGGUGAAAUGCAUAGAUAUGUCACAGAACACCGAUUGCGAAGGCAGCUUACUAAAGUGUGAUUGACGCUGAGGCACGAAAGCGUGGGGAUCAAACAGGAUUAGAUACCCUGGUAGUCCACGCCCUAAACGAUGAAUACUCGAUGUUGGCGAUAUACGGUCAGCGUCUAAGCGAAAGCGUUAAGUACUCCACCUGGGGAGUACGCCCGCAAGGGUGAAACUCAAAGGAAUUGACGG
rnacentral:rRNA from 1 species